GAUGAAAACGUAGCGAAAUGCGAUACGUAAUGUGAAUUGCAGAAUUCAGUGAAUCAUCGAAUCUUUGAACGCAUAUUGCGCUCUCUGGUAUUCCGGAGAGCAUGCUUGUUUGAGUAUCAGUAAACACCUCAACUCCCUUUUCUUUUUUGAAAUUGGAGCUGGACUUGAGUGAUCCCAACGCUUUCUUCCAAGAAAGUGGCGGGUUGCUUGAAAUGCAGGUGCAGCUGAACUUUUCUCUGAGCUAUAAGCAUAUCUAUUUAGUCUGCCUAAAAAACAGAUUAUUACCUUUGCUGCAGCUAACAUAAAGGAGACUAGUUCUUGUGCUGACUGAUGCAGGAUUCACAGAGACAGCUUCGGCUGACUUUGUAAACUCGAUCUCAAAUCAAGUAAGACUACCCGCUGAACUUAAGCAUAUCAAUAAGCGGAGGA
rnacentral:misc_RNA from 1 species